UACGGGGGGGGCAAGCGGUGUUCGGAAUUACUGGGCGUAAAGGGUUCGUAGGUGGCCAACUAAGUCAGACGUGAAAUCCCUCAGCUCAACUGGGGAACUGCGUCUGAUACUGGUUGGCUUGAGUGCAGGAGAGGAACGCGGAAUUCCAGGUGUAGCGGUGAAAUGCGUAGAUAUCUGGAGGAACACCGGUGGCGAAGGCGGCGUUCUGGACUGCAACUGACACUGAUGAACGAAAGCCAGGGGAGCAAACGGG
rnacentral:rRNA from 1 species